UGCUCUAGGAUUACAGAGGGAAUCUUCUGUAAUAUUUUCUUUUCAAUCAAUAAUACUAUUCCUUUUGUUUCUCUUUAAUUCAGGUUCCUAACAAUUGAUCUCUGUCAAAAUAUGUCCAUUUCAUCCUUCUUAAGCGUCCCUAUUCUGCAAGAUCUUUGGCUGAAACUUUCACCAAAGAAGUGGUCCGACUUCAUAGAAUUCUGGAAUCUAUUGUGAGUGAUAGAGAUCCCAUUUUUGUUAGUAAUUUCUGGCAGAAACUCUUUAAACAACAAGGUACAUAUUUAAAGCUAAGCACUGCAUACCCUUCUCGUUAGUAAUUUCCUUCGGAAGUUAUUAAGAAGUUACUUGGCCAGAAGAAGUUAUCUUCUGAGAGAGCAAACUACUCUGAUACAUUUGCAGACUGUAAUUCAUUUUGUUAAUCAAUGAAAAUCGCAAGUUUACUUGCAAAAGCCUCAUCUCUAUAAUGCUGAUCUCUAUCAUUAUCCAAUAUAUAUUUCUUUAAUAUUGUGGGUAUCGCACACACUUGAUGGGUUACGGCGUCUCUGAGUUUGCAGCACUCUACAUUAUCCAACCUUUUUGCUUGGACGUCAAGUACUCAAGUUGUUUUUUUACAGGAUUUUUUUUUUCUUUUUUUAAGGAAGGAAUGAAAAAACCUUGAUUGUACAAAUUACCCGAAAAAAUAAUUUAUCGUAAUUUAAUUUAUGGUUUUACAUUAGUAAAUGAGUGUCCUUGUAGGCUUAACUCAAUUGAUAAGGACAAUGCAUAAUAUAUGCAGGUCCUGAGUUCGAACUCCGGACACCACAAAAAAAACUUUAGCAAAUGAGAAAUUAUUUUCUCCCAUAUUUCCCGUGUGCUCUAUGAGAACUUAAAAAUACUCUUUGAUUUUCGGAUUUUAGAAUUAGUAGCAUGUAAUAGAUAAAGGAUGGGAAAGAGGAAAAAAAAUAUGAAAUUGUAUUUUGUCACAAGAGGUGUUCCAAAGCUUCUUAUAUUCGAUGCCAUGGAAGAGUUCAUCAACUAACCGCCAGAAGAUUCAUGCAGCAACUUGGUAGCAUCAUUCAUAGAGACUUGAAACCCGAGAACAUUUUGCUAUCAAGCCAUGGUGCGGAUACACAACUGAAGAUAGCUUAUUUUGGUAUCUCAAGGUAGUGUGUAUCAGUUAAGGGCGAUGAAUAUGAAGUGUAAGACAAUUUAUUUAUUUUGAUGCUGCUACUAUUACUAACUUGACAUCUUUUUUGCCUUGCAUACAAUGUGAGAACUGUCCGGCCAGGUGAGUAUGUUGAGACAGUUUGUGGAACUCCAUUAUACAUGGCUCCUGUCUCCUGAAGUUCUACAGUUCCAGAGAUAUGAUCACAAGGCAGACAUGUGGAGUGCUGGGGCCAUGCAUUUUGAGCUUCUAAAUGGUUAUCCACCUUUUAACGGCAGAAAUAAUGUUCAGGUGUUGAAAAACAUCAAAUCCUGUACCUGUCUUCCAUUUUCUCAAUCAAUUCUUUAUGGAUUGGACUCUGCCUGUCUUGAUAUUUGUUCAAGAGUCAAGACUAUUGUGCUUAAAUCCAGUUGAGCGCCUAUCUUUUGAUGAAUUUUAUUUGCAUAGCUUUCUAAGAGGAAAAUAGUAGGGACCUUGACAGCAAUCCCGGGGUUUUAUUCAUAUUGUGAAUAUUUGGCAUUGAGGUUCACCCCAUCUCUGGCUACUGGACUUGAAGCUGAUCAAGAUAGUGCUAUAAUGUUAGGAUUGUUAUUUCUCUAUCUAUCUAGGGGACUUUACUUGCUGAUGACUAGUUGGUUGUGAGUAGUAGUAGCAGGAGGAAUGGUGCCGGCGACCAUAGCAUAGAUGAGGAUCAGAGUGAGGGUUUUUAAUACCGCUUUUGAUAUAUGGACCUAGAUCGCCUGCUGUAAAUGCUUCACGCAGUAGCUGAUCUGAACCGUAGAAAAGUGAUUCAACAGUUCAGAUUUAUUUGUCCGGUUUUCACACAGUUUGAUCUCAGCCACCGAUUGAGGAUCGGACGGCUGAGAUCUGUUACAGCAGGACACUGUUGCAACACCAAAUCCUGUUCCGUGUAUAUAUACAAGAUAACAUGAAAGAUGGUUGUGUUGUUUUGACUCUUAA